rnacentral:rRNA from 1 species
UAGGGAAUCUUCGGCAAUGGACGAAAGUCUGACCGAGCAACGCCGCGUGAGUGAAGAAGGUUUUCGGAUCGUAAAACUCUGUUGUUAGAGAAGAACAAGGACGUUAGUAACUGAACGUCCCCUGACGGUAUCUAACCAGAAAGCCACGGCUAACUACGUGCCAGCAGCCGCGGUAAUACGUAGGUGGCAAGCGUUGUCCGGAUUUAUUGGGCGUAAAGCGAGCGCAGGCGGUUUCUUAAGUCUGAUGUGAAAGCCCCCGGCUCAACCGGGGAGGGUCAUUGGAAACUGGGAGACUUGAGUGCAGAAGAGGAGAGUGGAAUUCCGUGUGUAGCGGUGAAAUGCGUAGAUAUAUGGAGGGACACCAGUGGCGAAGGCGGCUCUCUGGUCUGAAACUGACGCUGUGGCACGAAAGCGUGGGGGGCAAACAGG